UUAACUACUUGUUGACACGAAUUAUUUAAAAUAUUGGAACGCAGUACGUUAUGUAUUAUAUGUUGGAAGGCGCUGGGAUGUAAAUAAAAAAGCAAAAGCGUAAAUAUAAACGCUGGGGGCUAACGUUGAUACAUUACUGUUCUAUUUUUUAUAAGAAUUAUUCAUAAAAAAAUCUCCUUGUAUCCUUCUGCGUUAAUUUCACUACUUAUUAAUUGGU